GGAAAGGUACUCAAGUUGGUUAAGAGGACUGUUUGCUAAACAGUUAGCACUAUUAUUAGUGGCGCAGGUUCGAGUCCUGUCUUUUCCU
rfam:Bacillus gaemokensis strain JCM 15801 contig11, whole genome shotgun sequence.